rnacentral:tRNA from 2 species
GCGCUGGUAGCUCAGUUGGAUAGAGCACUUGACUUCGAAUCAAGUGGUCGGGGGUUCGAGUCCUCCCCAGCGCGCCA